rnacentral:rRNA from 1 species
AUUGAACGCUGGCGGCAGGCCUAACACAUGCAAGUCGAGCGGAUGAAGGGAGCUUGCUCCUGGAUUCAGCGGCGGACGGGUGAGUAAUGCCUAGGAAUCUGCCUGGUAGUGGGGGAUAACGUCCGGAAACGGGCGCUAAUACCGCAUACGUCCUGAGGGAGAAAGUGGGGGAUCUUCGGACCUCACGCUAUCAGAUGAGCCUAGGUCGGAUUAGCUAGUUGGUGGGGUAAAGGCCUACCAAGGCGACGAUCCGUAACUGGUCUGAGAGGAUGAUCAGUCACACUGGAACUGAGAAACGGUCCAGACUCCUACGGGAGGAAGCAGUGGGGAAUAUUGGGCAAAGGACGAAAGCCUGAUCCAGCCAUGCCGCGUGUGUGAAGAAGGUCUUCGGAUUGUAAAGCACUUUAAGUUGGGAGGAAGGGCAGUAAGUUAAUACCUUACUGUUUUGACGUUACCAACAGAAUAAGCACCGGCUAACUUCGUG